CGUAGGGUGCAAGCGUUAAUCGGAAUUACUGGGCGUAAAGCGUGCGCAGGCGGCUUUGCAAGACAGAUGUGAAAUCCCCGGGCUUAACCUGGGAACUGCAUUUGUGACUGCAUGGCUGGAGUGCGGCAGAGGGGGAUGGAAUUCCGCGUGUAGCAGUGAAAUGCGUAGAUAUGCGGAGGAACACCGAUGGCGAAGGCAAUCCCCUGGGCCUGCACUGACGCUCAUGCACGAAGCGUGGGAGCAAACAGGAUU
rnacentral:rRNA from 1 species